rnacentral:lncRNA from 1 species
CAUAAAUAUAUAAGACUAAAUUAAAGGGAUUCAGGGGAAAGGGGUGUGUAAGAACUCAAACCGCAUAAAACAGCAAAGAGAAAGAACUGAGCAUGCUGAACUGAAAAAUUAAAACAUAAACAGACAAGAAAAAAAAUGGAGAACUAGACAUGCUGCGACUGAAAUACACACAGACAAGGGAAAUGAGGAAAGGGAUUCAACAUGUUAAGGCUUAAACUGAGCCUACAUGGGAAAAGGGGAAGGUGAUUAAACAUGACGAACAAAAGCGGAACAGCAUACAGAAAGCAUGGAAUACAUGAACUGAAAACCCUAUAAAAUAACAGUAAAGUACAACACCUUAGAGUCAUGGUGGAAAGUUCCUAAAAAUCAUAGCAAAGACAUAAAGAAGAACACUCAGUAACAAGUAAAGCGAAGAAAUUAGAGAAAUCAUGGAAAGUCGUAGAAACCCUAGGUUUAAAAAGACGAACAGUUUGAAAACACAAAUAGGCGAAGAAGAAGUGAGAAAUUUUUUGAAAUCUUUAGAAAAUCACCAGGACUCAAAGGGGAUUGUAAAAUAAACACAGAGAAGAAAAAGAAGUGAGAAAGAUUUUGAAAUCUUUAGAAAAUCACCAGGACUCAGAGGGGAUCGUAAAAUAAAAACAAAGAAGAACAUCAAGAAAUUAGGGUUUUCAGAGAAAGGUCUCAAAGCAUCGAGAAAAGUCUGGAAUGGACUCGUCGGAGCCUUAAGACUUGCCGGAGAAAGCUUGGACACAGCUGCAAACCCAUAGGAGGAACUCUGGUCCAACCACACUUGAAAUACAGUUCCAAUCUUCAAACACAACGACCAGGAGAGGUGAAGAGUGAACGGGUGAAGGAGUUUCAGGUCUUGGAUGGCCAUGAACGCCAGUGAAGUGAGAAGGAGAAGACUAGGUUUUUAGAGAACCUAGAGAGCAUUUGGGAGUGAA